rnacentral:piRNA from 1 species
UACGAGGUCACGUGAUGGUCACAGAGGAU